rnacentral:rRNA from 1 species
GACGAACCGUGCAAACGUUGUUCGGAAUCACUGGGCUUAAAGGGCGCGUAGGCGGCUUAUCAAGUCGGGGGUGAAAUACUUCAGCUUAACCGGAGAAGUGCCUUCGAUACUGGUGGGCUUGAGGGAGGUGAGGGGUCUGUGGAACUUCUGGUGGAGCGGUGAAAUGCGUUGAUAUCAGAAGGAACGCCGGUGGCGAAAGCGACGGACUGGACCUCUUCUGACGCUGAGGCGCGAAGGCUAGGGGAGCAAACGGG